rnacentral:rRNA from 1 species
GCCUGGUCUCAUCCCAUCUCAGAGCCUGGUCUCAUCCCAUCUCAGAAGCUAAGCAGGGUCAGGUCUGGUUAGUACUCGGUUGGGAAACAAUUCAAGUUGGACAGUGACACAGGUA